AUUGAACGCUAGCGGCAUGCCUAACACAUGCAAGUCGAACGGAGUGGCGAACGGGUGAGUAAUGUAUCGGAAUGUGCCCAGUAGCGGGGGAUAACUACGCGAAAGGGUCGCUAAUACCGCAUACUAUCGGAGUGGCCUAUGUCGGAUUAGCUAGUUGGGGGGGUAACGGCCAACCAAGGCGACGAUCCGUAGCUGGUUUGAGAGGAUGAUCAGCCACACUGGGACUGAGACACGGCCCAGACUCCUACGGGAGGCAGCAGUGGGGAAUAUUGGACAAUGGGGGAAAGCCUGAUCCAGCCAUGCCGCGUGUGGGAAGAAGGCCUUCGGGUUGUAAAGCACUUUAGGUGGGGAGGCGGUACCUGCAGAAUAAGCACCGGCUAACUACGUGCCAGCAGCCGCGGUAAUUC
rnacentral:rRNA from 1 species